AGAACUAUCCUAGUUGACCACCGUCUAAGAGUGGUAAGGAGGGGGAGGCGAUGCGUAGAUGUAGUGCGGGGGUGGUGGAGGAGGGGACUUGUACUUGUAGGGCUUCUUGUAAGGGGGUGGUGGCGGAGAGUGAUAGAUUGGGUGGGGAAUGUAAGGAGGAUGAGGGUGAGGAAGAGGGUGCGGGUGGGGCAAAGGAUGGGGGUGAGGAAGAGGGUGUGGGUGUGGGUGGGGAAGAGGGUGGGGGUGUGGGUGUGGAAGAGGGUGUGGGUGGGGGUAUGGGUGGACAGGAGGUGGAGGCGACAGGUACUUGUAAGGCUUCUUAGGGGGUGGAGGAGGAGAGGGGUACACGUAGGGAGGGUGUGGGUGUGGAUGGGGGUGGGGCUGAGGGUGUGGGUGUGGGUGUGGAUGCGGGUGAGGGUAAGGGUGGACUGGUGGUGGUGGAGAUGGGUACUUGUAGGGAGGGUGAGGGUGAGGGUGAGGGUGGGGGUGUGGGUGGGGAUGGGGGUGAGGAUGGGGAUAAGGGUGCACUGGAGGUGGGGGAGAUGGGUAUUUGUAGGGCUUCUUGGGAGGAGGAGGUGGUGAGUGGUAGUAGUAAGGCUUCUUCGGAGGAGGUGGCGGUGGAGAGUGGUAGUAGUAUGGUUUCUUCUUCGGUGGAGGUGGGGGUGGUGAGUGGUAGUAAUAUGGUUUGGGUGGAGGUGGUGAAGGUGGCGGGGGAGAAUGGUAGUAGUAAGGCUUAGGUGGAGGUGGUGAGGGUGGUGGGGGAGAAUGGUAGUAGUACGGCUUAGGUGGAGGAGGUGAAGGUGGUGGGGGAGAGUGAUAGUAGUAUGGCUUCUUCUUGGGUGGGGGUGGUGGUGGUGAGUGAUAGUAGUACGGCUUAGGUGGAGGUGGUGAAGGAGGUGGUGGUGAGUGAUAAUAGUAUGGCUUAGGUGGAGGUGGUGAAGGAGGUGGUGGUGAGUGAUAGUAGUAUGGCUUAGGUGGAGGUGGUGAAGGUGGUGGUGGAGAGUGGUAGUAGUAUGGCUUCUUUUUGGGUGGUGGUGGUGGUGGUGAGUGGUAGUAGUAUGGCUUAGGUGGAGGUGGGGAAGGUGGUGGAGGAGAAUGGUAGUAAUAUGGCUUGGGUGGAGGAGGUGAAGGUGGUGGUGGAGAGUGGUAGUAGUAUGGUUUUUUUGGUGGAGGUGGUGAAGGAGGAGGAGGAGAGUGAUAAUAAUAGGGUUUCUUAGGUGGUGGAGGUGAUGAGUACAAGUAGUUAUCAGCUGAGAUUUGAGAAGGGAAGGUUAAAGACAGUAAUGAGAAUAGCAGAGUAAGUGUGGCGGAGGAGGCCAUUAGAGACCCCAUUGUUUUUCCCCUCAACCUCACUACAACGUGGGGUUUUGUUAUGCUUUUUCUCAACCAAAGAGCCACCCUUUAUAUAGAAUCUUUCUUUACCCCAACUAAUCUUUUUGGUAAAUUUCUUCUCAUGCAUGCGCAUUCCAAUCAUCUCUUCUCCUUUCUAAUAAAACAUAUAAAUUCCCAUAUAUAUUGACGUUGGCAAACAGAAAAAAGGCUUAAAUUAUGAAAAUGAUAUUUGUCCUUUUUGGGCAGUAAAUAUAAAUAG
rnacentral:lncRNA from 1 species